GUAACCUCAACAAAAUCUGCCCUGGAGACAUGGACAACCCCGGGAAACUGCCUUUAAGGCGUGAUAGGUCAUCUCAUCUGGAAGGAGAGAUGGCUUAAAGGGGUACGCGGGCUUCUUCUGCGUAUUCGCUCCAGGAUGGGACUGCGUCCGAUCAGGCUGUUGGCGGGGUAAUGGCCCACCAAACCUGUAACCGGUACGGGCCUUGAGAGAGGUGGCCCGGAGAUGGACACUGAGAGAAGGGUCCAGGUCCUACGGGGCGCAGCGGGCGCGAAACCUUCGCAAUGCGCGAAAGCGUGACGAGGUUAAUCCGAGUGGCCCCCGCUGAGGGGGUCUUUUGUCAGCUGUAAAUAGGCGGGCGAAUAAGGGGAGGGCAAGCCUGGUGUCAGCCGCCGCGGUAAUACCAGCUCCUCGAGUGGUCGGGGCGAUUAUUGGGCCUAAAGCAUCCGUAGCCGGUUCCGUAGGUCCUCUGUUAAAUCCACCCGCUUAACGGGUGACCUGCAGAGGAUACCGCGGGACU
rnacentral:rRNA from 1 species